GUUAUUCACUCUCCAGAUAUCUCUUCUAUAAGCAUUUAACUGAUGAGAUGUUGGAAAAUAUCAAUUUCAUGGACAAAGCUUAGCAUUUCUGGUUAACUCGUCUCCUACAAAUCUCACUUUCCAGUCAGCCAGAGGAAAGUAACACUUUGAAGGCACAGUUGCACUUUAAAGGCACCCAAUGGACAAGUGGAGAUACGGGAUGAGAUUCUUGUAGUAGACUCUUGAAAGGAGCUUGUGUUUACUUGAAACACAAAGAAACCCCACACGAGUGUACUGUGCUAUCCAAAAACUUGUUAUAAAACAAUAGAUCAAAAGACUUCAGAAGAGAGGCUUGGGGCUUAAGUGAAGUAAGAGAAGAUAUGGGCUAGGGAUCAAGAGAGUUCAUGGAGGUGUACAAAGCACUGCUGAUUGGUGAGGUGGCUUCUUCUGCUACAAGGGAAAAAGGGUUUGACAACGACAUUGCACCGAGAGCAAAAUGAGAAAUGCAUGAUUGGGGAUUCAAGAAUGUGUCUUGGCUAGCAACAGUUUUGGCCUUAAGUACUUCACCCUUGUCUAAGCAAACCAUAUAUACAGUUCUCCUGUCUUGUUUUUUUUCCCUCCCGUUCUCUCACCUGUAGAUGAGACACGCCCACUUCUCCAAAUGGGGUGGCUGCAAUCCCUCCUCUCUCCAUUGAAGAAGCUGUGGUUUCGUCUACACUCAACUCCAAAGAAUAGAAGAGGAAUAUACAUCCUGUACGAGGAUGUAAAAUCCUGCCAGUAUGAAGAUGUGCAUGUCCUAUGGUCAAUACUAGUGGAGUCAAAUACCCCUUCUUUGCCAUCAAAACAAUGAAGGCCUACACAAGUACAGAGUUCCCAAAGAACUAAGAGAUGUCCACUCAUGUACAUAAGAUAUUUAUCUUGUUCUAUAAUCUCUUGAAAGGAUUUUUGUUUUUGUAGUUUGCUUAUUGAAUUCCUUGUCAUCUGAGCUAUAUAUUAGAACAUAGCUUUUUCCGCAAAA